GUUGAAUCAAACGAGCGUUUGGUCUCGUGGAGGCUAACACAAGUUGGUGUGCUCAUGGUGUAGCGUUGGAGAGUGGGAGCUCCAGGAACCAGUGUUGUGGAGAGCAUCUGGGGAUAUCUGAAAGUGCUAUGAAGCGAGGUCUAGCGGUGUAUUUCACCUGCUGCAGUUAUUUGUACUGUUGUCAUCAUGAAAGUAUCACGCACAACUCGGACGGAGGUAGAGCGGAGUAGUUUGCAGCUUACUUUCUUGGACUACAAUAACCAGGGGAAGAGUAGACUGCCUCUUUUCCUGGGCUGAACCCUGGGGAUUAUUCUGCCACAACGUGGGCUAGCCUCUAGGCUACAUACCCAGUCUGUUAAGUGGUUGUCAUUACCCCUCAAGAAUGAGAACUUGUGGGCUUGGAUUUUGGCCUUGCCAGUGAACUUGGAGUAGCAUGUGGUCUGGAAAUCGGUGACGAUGGACAUGAGCCUGACUGGUUUGGUUUGGUUCAGGUGGGGAAUCUUCUGGAGUUGGUUCCUGACUACCACUAUCUGGAACAUAAUCUUAAAAUUCCACCCGGUCUUGCUAAUCACUGGAAUUUGUUGAGGACAAUAACUGGUCAAUAUGUCUUCUCCAGAUCAUCACUCUUUGUUUGGACAGUGUAUGAGACUGGGCCAGUCUGUGCUACUACAAUAGCUGGAACCCAUUUCUCACCCUUGCUGUAGUUCCGUGCUAGAACACUUUAACCUGUACAGAAGACAGGCAAUCUCUUUCAUUCUUACAACACCGCAAUGCCCCAAGUGCAGCUCUUCUAAAAUCUGGCUCCUUAGACGUAGUGGUAUCACAACUGUGUCCCCACAGCAAACAACCUGAUUGGACUGUCAGCUCGUUUCUUCUCACCAGAACCACACAGCAGAGACGGUGUCCCCAUCCACUCAGAACACUGCAUGGACUUCUAGAUGCCUUGUCGACUCUUCAAGAAAUGUGCAUCUCAAGAAAAUCUGCGCAGCUGAUUGGAGACGAGGAUGAGACCUUGAGGAUGACCUACCAAGCAACAGACGCUAUCAAGUUCACCAGGACAACAUGAAUGCAUCACAAAUCCAAACAUUGUGCAUGAUCAUAUCCAUGAUCUAUGGUUCAAAUGCAUGGGUUUGCACACACAUGCCCAGAGAAUACCUGACAUUCCAUCAUGCAGAAGCAAAUCAUCCAAGCUCCCUGACCUGCAUCCGUCAUAGACAAGCGCUACCUGAAGACACCAUAUGUUUCUGGCACUUCUGCACUAAUAAAGACCAAGAAGUAGAAAGACCCGGUUCACUAAUGGUGAGCUUUAGAAUAAAAGCAGACUCCGUACUGGUGCAACAACGAACACGCAAACCAUUUGUUCUACAACGAAAUGGAACUUUACACUUCAGCAAGAUAAAGCAUGACAAUGAAGGCUUGUAUAGAUGCAAAUGUGGUUACCAUGUUCAGUAUCAAGUUUAUAUAGAUACUGCUGUGACUAUAAGCCAAGGGGGAAAUCAUGCUGUAAGCAUUUCUUUGAAUAAUCCAAAAGAUUAGUUUUCUUCCAUCUUUUCUCCCUGACUAGAUCUCACCUUUUUGGGCACCAAUCUGUGUGUCCCAACCUGUCAGUGUAACUGGCGGAAUCUCAUGGACUGCACAUCCAGUCUCCAAUUGUGACACAAGCUCUAUCUUACAAGUUCCCAUUAGCAAGCCAAUCAACAUUGCCCCCUGUCCAGUUGGGCAGGAAAUGAGA